CAAGUCGAGGGGCAGCGCGAGGGUAGCAAUAUCUUUGGCGGCGACCGGCGCACGGGUGCGUAACAGGUGUGCAAUCUGUCCAUAAUCGGGGAAUAACCCGGCGAAAGCCGAACUAACGCUCCAUGUGAAUGAGAGCCGCAUGACUUUCAUUUGAAACGUAAGGAUUAUGGGUGAGCACGCUUCUGAUUAGAUAGUUGGUGAGGUAACGGCUCACCAAGUCGACGAUCAGUAGGGGUUCUGAGAGGAAGGUCCCCCACAUUGGAACUGAGACACGGUCCAAACUCCUACGGGAGGCAGCAGUGAGGAAUAUUGGUCAAUGGGCGAGAGCCUGAACCAGCCAAGUCGCGUGAAGGAUGAAGGUUCUAUGGAUUGUAAACUUCUUUUAUUCGAGGGUAAAGUGUGGUACGUGUACCAUAUUGCAAGUAUCGAAUGAAUAAGCAUCGGCUAACUCCGUGCCAGCAGCCGCGGUAAUACGGAGGAUGCGAGCGUUAUCCGGAUUUAUUGGGUUUAAAGGGUGCGUAGGCGGACGAUUAAGUCAGCGGUGAAAGCGUGUGGCUCAACCAUACCAAGCCGUUGAAACUGGUUGUCUUGAGUGUAAACGAGGUAGAUGGAAUUCGUGGUGU
rnacentral:rRNA from 1 species